UACGUAGGUGGCAAGCGUUGUCCGGAUUUACUGGGCGUAAAGAGCGCGCAGGCGGCUGGGCAAGUCCGAUGUGAAAGCUUCCGGCUUGAACUGGAAAAUUGCAUCGGAAACUGCUCGGCUUGAAGGUGGGAGAGGGUAGCGGAAUUCCCGGUGUAGUGGUGAAAUGCGUAGAUAUCAGGAGGAACACCGGUGGCGAAGGCGGGUCUCUGGGCCGAUACUGACGC
rnacentral:rRNA from 1 species